GACGAACGCUGGCGGCGUGCCUAAUACAUGCAAGUCGAACGCAGUGGGGACGGGUGAGUAACACGUGGGUAACCUCCCAUCAGAGGGGAUAACACUUGGAAACAGGUGCUAAACCGAAACAGAUGGAUGGACCCGCGGGGGAGUAGCUAGUGGGUGGGGUAACGGCGCACCAAGGCCACGAUGCAUAGCUGGCCUGAGAGGAGGAUCGGCCACACUGGAACUGAGACACGGCCCAGACUCCUACGGGAGGCAGCAGUGGGGAAUAUUGGACAAUGGGCGCAAGUCUGACCGAGCAACGCCGCGUGUAUGAAGAAGGUUUUCGGAUCGUAAAGCACUGUUGUUGGGGAAGCGUUACCUACACAAAAAGCACCGGCUAACUACGUGCCAGCAGCCGCGGUAAUAC
rnacentral:rRNA from 1 species